UCAGCUUCUUCUUUAAGCAGUUAAAACCACAAACAAACCCUAACUCAAAUGGGCGUCUUCUCCACACCUUCCUUCCAAUACCUAAAGUCGUGGGUGUUGUUUAAGCUAGAGAGAGAGUGAGAGAGCCCCAAAUGAGAAAGGGCAGAAAAGAAAGGAAACCGAGAGGUACCAGUCUCCAGUGACGACGGAUCCACGGUGGUUCUGCGGCAACGGCACCAUCAAGGCGAUACUACUCUGGUGCGUGCUUCAUCCACCGCCAGUAAUCUGUAGACGGUGAACACGGUUGUUGGGUUGGCUGGUUUCAACAAACGACGGUGGUGCAGUGCAAAUAGCGAUUCCAAUCUUCUGCAAAAUUCGGUUUGUCUACUCAAAUCUUAAUGCGUUAACAGGAUCACUCCCACCAGAUGUUUGUGAAAUUGCCUCAGUGAAAGUUCUCAACUUUGCUUGAAGUUAUUUCAGUGGGCCCAUUCCAAAUUCAUAUGGGUUAUGCAAGAAUCUUGAUAUUAUUCAUCUUGCUGGUAAUUUGUUAAGUGGGUAUUUACGUAUUGAAUUUGGUCAGUUAAAAAUUGUCACUCAUAUGGAGAUUGGUUACAAUUCUUAUCAAGGUAGCAUCCCAUGGCAAUUUGGUAAUAUGAGUGAGCUUAGAUAUCUUGAUAUUGCUGGUGCUAAUCUAUCAGGAACAAUCCGAAACGAGUUAGGUACUUUAGUUAAUCUUGCCACACUAUUUCUAUUCAAAAACUCUCUGUUCGGGAUGAUCCUGAACGAAUUCGGCAACAUUUCGAUGAUUUCGAGCUUAGAUCUUUCGGAUAACUUGCUUUCGAGUCCGAUUCUCGACAGUUUUUCGAACUUGAAAAGUUUAAAACUAUCAAGUGCUAUGUAUAACGACAUGAAUGGUUUUGUUCCUGAAGGGAUAGCUAAGCUUCCUAAUCUUGAAUCACUUCUUAUUUGGGAUAACUUCUUUAGUGGCACACUGCCACAAGAAUUGGGUAUGCAUUCUAAACUCAAAUGAGUAUUUUUCACUUAUAAUUCAAAAGUUUCUAUCUUUUGCAAUUUAACCCCUUUGAUUUUUUUUUACGUUUAACCCAAAGCUUUUCAUCAUUUGCAAUUAUGAGCCUUUCCAUGUCUUGCAAAAGCAGCUUCAAAGCUGCCACUUUGUUUGCGUAUGUCAACAGGAUCAGCACGAUUAAAGGAAAACGAAGAUUGAUGGAGAGAACCUGUGUGGGGAUGAAGAUGGGCGAUUGUCAGUUGGAGAUAACGUGGGCGGCUGCAAUGUCGAAUGAAGAUGAAGGAGACACUGAUAGCAUGCGUGGUUCCUUUCAGAUGCAGGUCAUUCAAAUAAAUGUUUUCAUUAUUGCAAGAUACCAUAAAAUUUGAGAAAGCCCCAACAACAGCAGUAAAAAUCAACCCGACCUCUGCGGCACCAGUCACCACAUAAACAGGUAACACGUUCCAUUGUGCUUACUUUAAAUGUAUGUUUUCAGCUAAAUAUGACUUUUUGUAAUAAUUUUUUAAUGACUUCCAGAUUGAGUAACCUUGAUACCAAUGUGAAUAAGGUCACCAUCGCAAUAACAAUUACUCUCCAUGGAAUAUCCAUGACCGGAUAGAUUCAAAUCCUUGGAAUCCUCUGGAGUUGUUGUUCAAGGUCAUGUUACAUCAGAUUAAAGUGUCUUUGGCGUGCCAGAUUGUACAGACUUUGGGCAGAUUGCUGCUCGGACUUUAGUCAGAUUGCGGGUCACUAGAUCAUAUUGUGAUUUCAUUAUGUAGCAUUUUUUUUGUUAGCGGGUCAAAUUUCCACAGCUUCGUUACAUGUAACUUAAUAUGUGAACUUACAAAUAAUGAUUUCUGAAAAUGUUACUAGAAUACUCUGCCAACAAUUGUUGAUCACCAUGAUAGCCCCGCCCACAUCGCGGCAGGGGCUCCAUCUAGUUUA